rnacentral:rRNA from 1 species
UGGCGGACGGGUGAGUAACGCGUGGGUAACCUGCCUCAUACAGGGGGAUAACAGUUAGAAAUGACUGCUAAUACCGCAUAAGACCACAGCACCGCAUGGUGCAGGGGUAAAAACUCCGGUGGUAUGAGAUGGACCCGCGUCUGAUUAGGUAGUUGGUGGGGUAACGGCUUACCAAGCCGACGAUCAGUAGCCGACCUGAGAGGGUGACCGGCCACAUUGGGACUGAGACACGGCCCAA